rnacentral:tRNA from 1 species
GCCUGGGUGGCUCAGUCGGUUGAGCCUCCGACUUCAGCUCAGGUCAUGAUCUCGCAGUCUGUGAGUUCAAGCCCCACGUCAGGCU